rnacentral:rRNA from 1 species
GAUGAACGCUGGCGGCGUGCCUAAUACAUGCAAGUAGAACGCUGAAGCUUGGUGCUUGCACCGAGCGGAUGAGUUGCGAACGGGUGAGUAACGCGUAGGUAACCUGCCUCUUAGCGGGGGAUAACUAUUGGAAACGAUAGCUAAUACCGCAUAAAAGUCGAUAUCGCAUGAUAUUGAUUUGAAAGGUGCAAAUGCAUCACUAAGAGAUGGACCUGCGUUGUAUUAGCUAGUUGGUGAGGUAACGGCUCACCAAGGCGACGAUACAUAGCCGACCUGAGAGGGUGAUCGGCCACACUGGGACUGAGACACGGCCCAGACUCCUACGGGAGGCAGCAGUAGGGAAUCUUCGGCAAUGGGGGCAACCCUGACCGAGCAACGCCGCGUGAGUGAAGAAGGUUUUCGGAUCGUAAAGCUCUGUUGUAAGAGAAGAACGAGUGUGAGAGUGGAAAGUUCACACUGUGACGGUAACUUACCAGAAAGGGACGGCGAACUACGU